UAGGGAAUCUUCGGCAAUGGACGAAAGUCUGACCGAGCAACGCCGCGUGAGUGAAGAAGGGUUUCGGCUCGUAAAGCUCUGUUGUUAAAGAAGAACGUUGGUGAGAGUGGAAAGCUCAUCAAGUGACGGUAACUACCCAGAAAGGGACGGCUAACUACGUGCUAG
rnacentral:rRNA from 1 species